rnacentral:pre_miRNA from 1 species
AACAGGCUUACUAUGAGAAACGGCUCAAUCCAUCACGGGCCGUUUUUAAUUACAACCCAUUAAUAAAUAUCAUUUUAUUUAGGGCAAUAUUGUAUCAAUUCUAAUUAUAAUAUUGCACUGAAUAAAAGGAUACUUAUUAAUGGGCUGUAAUUAGAAACGGGCCGUGAUGGGUUGGGCUGUU